CCCUUAGAUGUUCUGGGCCGCACGCGUGCUACACUGAGUGGAUCAGCGGGUCAGGUUGCGCGAAAGUGUUUCCUAAUCUUUAAAUCCGCUCGUGAUGGGGAUUGACGGUUGCAAUUUUCCGUCAUGAACGAGGAAUACCUUGUAAGCGCGGGUCAUCAUCCCGCGCUGAAUACGUCCCUGCCCUUUGUACACACCGCCCGUCGCUCCUACCGAUUGAGUGGUCCGGUGAGGCCUUGGGAUCUGGGCGGAAAGAGCGUUUCGCUGUUUCUGCCCGGAAAACUCAGUCGAACCUUAUCAUUUAGAGGAAGGAGAAGUCGUAACA
rnacentral:rRNA from 1 species